rnacentral:rRNA from 2 species
ACAAGCGGUGGAGCAUGUGGUUUAAUUCGAAGCUACGCGAAGAACCUUACCAGGUCUUGACAUCUUCUGCCAAUCUUAGAGAUAAGACGUUCCCUUCGGGGACAGAAUGACAGGUGGUGCAUGGUUGUCGUCAGCUCGUGUCGUGAGAUGUUGGGUUAAGUCCCGCAACGAGCGCAACCCUUAUUAUCAGUUGCCAGCAUUCAGUUGGGCACUCUGGUGAGACUGCCGGUGACAAACCGGAGGAAGGUGGGGAUGACGUCAAAUCAUCAUGCCCCUUAUGACCUGGGCUACACACGUGCUACAAUGGACGGUACAACGAGUCGCGAAGUCGUGAGGCUAAGCUAAUCUCUUAAAGCCGUUCUCAGUUCGGAUUGUAGGCUGCAACUCGCCUACAUGAAGUUGGAAUCGCUAGUAAUCGCGGAUCAGCAUGCCGCGGUGAAUACGUUCCCGGGCCUUGUACACACCGCCCGUCACACCAUGAGAGUU